rnacentral:lncRNA from 1 species
UAUAUUUCUGCAAAGGAAACUUACCGAUAUAGAGGGAUACCGUUUGAAAAUUGAGAUAGAGAGAUUGACCAUCGAAAAGAGAAGACUUGAAAUUGAUGAAAACAAUAUUGCAGUCUCAGUGGCAUAACUAUAUGUCUUUUAUGAGGCUUAAAUGGCAAUGUAUUUUAGAUUGACUAUACUUAUCUAACUGUCCAAAAGCUUUUAAAUUGAUGAAAAGUAUUUUUAGAUGUUUAAUAAAUGAAUUAUACUUUUAAAUGUAACAUUCCUCAAUAUGUUCACCGUCAUAUUAUAGCUGUACAUGUUGUCCACCUUACAAGUAGUGCCAGACCGUCGCUAUCUUCGAGGUCUAAUAAUAUGAGUAAACCAAUAUCUUCACUGAUGUUGUACAGACUAUUAUA